GGGCCCGUAGCUCAGUAAGGAUAGAGCAUCGGAAAGGGAAGCAUAACUUUUAACCCGGUGGUCGUGGGUUCGAAUCCCAUCGGGCCCG
rnacentral:tRNA from 1 species